CACGAACGCUGGCGGCGUGCCUAAUACAUGCAAGUCGAGCGCAGGAAAUCGACGGAACCCUUCGGGGGGAAGUCGAUGGAAUGAGCGGCGGACGGGUGAGUAACACGUAAAGAACCUGCCCUCAGGUCUGGGAUAACCACGAGAAAUCGGGGCUAAUACCGGAUGGGUCAUCGGACCGCAUGGUCCGAGGAUGAAAGGCGCUUCGGCGUCGCCUGGGGAUGGCUUUGCGGUGCAUUAGCUAGUUGGUGGGGUAAUGGCCCACCAAGGCGACGAUGCAUAGCCGACCGGAGAGGGUGAUCGGCCACACUGGGACUGAGACACGGCCCAGACUCCUACGGGAGGCAGCAGUAGGGAAUCUUCCACAAUGGACGAAAGUCUGAUGGAGCAACGCCGCGUGAACGAUGAAGGCCUUCGGGUCGUAAAGUUCUGUUGUAAGGGAAGAACAAGUGCCGCAGGCAAUGGCGGCACCUUGACGGUACCUUGCGAGAAAGCCACGGCUAACUACGUGCCAGCCGCCGCUGUAAGAC
rnacentral:rRNA from 1 species